GAAACUGGGUUGUAUUUCUAUGUAAGUGAACCACAACUUAUCAUAUUAGUGAAUGCAGAAACAUUUUUUUCGUUCUGCAAAUUAAGAGUCUUAGGCAUUCUCAUGCAAUAGCACUACGAUUUGUUACUGCAGGAAAUCCCUUAUUAGCGCAAGGCAUUCAUGUUUAAACAACUCUAAUUUUCCAACAUUCGUUCACCAGAGAUGCGUCGCUUGCCAAGUUGGAUCAGAUAGAAGGCACUUUCAAGAAAAAAAAUAAUUCUACGUCUUUUCUUACUCAAUUCUAUUGCAAAAAAACUCCAAAUCCUGGCUCUUAAAAGUAUAGUAACAGAAUAUAGCUAGGCAGAAAUGUAUGGUAACAUGUUACCUUUCAGUAGUGUAUUAUCAACACCA